AUUUACACACAAUUUUUUCGUUAAGACUCAAUAUAGUAUUUUCCCAAGAUAUCUCUGUGGGUCACUGCAGAAUUGGGCAGAAUCAAGCCCAUUUGAUCCAUAGAAUAACUGGGCCAUGGACAAGGGUUAGGUCAUAGAGUUAAAGAAAAUACAAAUUGGAGAAUUCCAGAAUUUAGAAGAGGGAUACAGAUGUUACUAAGGAAAGAAUUCUAGGAUAUAAGAACUAAACACUGGUCCUUAUAGGAUCAGCUACACAAGCAGCAGGGGUGUCUCUUGGUUCAUAAGAGAUGGUUUAUAAAUAACACCUACUAUUUUGAACAGAAAAUUUCAAGAGGCAACCCAAUUCCAUCAUUCCAACUGGAAGAAGUAUGGGGACAGAGACAGGAUCUAACACACAUUUGCAAAAAAGCAUGCUGUAUAAAAUGGACUGAAAACAGACAGAAGUGGAAACAGGGAGUCCUGGUCUUCUAAAGUUGAGGCCAGCAUGCUGAAGAAAAAUAUUAAACUAUGUAUAACCCUGUGUCAACAUAUGAUGCUACUGGGAAUGAACAGGAUUUUGAAAAGACAGAAAAAAGAAGAGAAUGGAUGGGAGAACGAAACCAUGUCCUUCUAGAUCAGAACGAAAUCAAUCCUGCCACCCACAUCUGUGCUGCUUAACUACACUCGUGAGAAGAACACUGAACGCUUUUCGGAAUGGCAAUAGAGUCUACGAGAUGGACGGGCAAGACUUACGGUGACACUCCCUCCUUAGAAAACACACACACACACACACACACACACACACACACACACACACACACACACACAAAACACCCUCUACAUUCCCUUGAGUUUGAAAUGAAUUUCAUAAGUCUCUUCAGGCAUCUUUCUUUUAUUACAGCCCACAUUCAUAUUUCAGUAGAACAACUACAAGGGAGUCACUAAUUUUUUAUCUAAACUAUGACGUUUUGGCAAACGUUAUAUAACCAACUAUAAAUCCACAACAAGCCUCAAAUACUAAAGAGCUGGUAAUUAUAUGAUGAGAAACAGCUUGAUUAUGGGAGAGGCAAGGCGGGCUGUCAACAAACAAACAGCUGUUUCUUAUUGACAACCCAUAACUAGAUCGUGCAUCCCAACAAACUAAGGAGUUUGUUUCUGUUGUUGCUGUUGUGUUUGUUUUUAACUAUUCCACCCCCUUCCCCUCCCACGUCCAAAAUACUGAGUCGAUUUAAACAUUAGAUGCAAACCACAACAGAAGAAUCGGAUACACAAGGAUAACAAGUAAAGCACUACAGACUUAUAAAAAAAUUCUGUACGUAAUAACUAACAGAAGUUUAAAGUGUACUUUCCAAUUCAACUUCAAAUGGCUAUCUUUCCCUGUGCAACACGUCCUGUCAUUACUAUUUAUAAGAGGCAGCUCCGGCAAUGGGCCUGUUUCCUCAUUCUUGGAUUAUGACCACAGCAAUGCUGCCACUCUGAUCCUUUGUUCUGGAAGCUUUCUCCGUAGCUUCUUCCAUCCUCCCUGUUAGCAGCAGGGAAUGAGCAUGCUUAGAUCUGCCAGUGUGAACUCUAAGGUCCAUUGUAACUUGAAACUAAAUGAUUCUAGGAAUACUUGAUAAGCUUAGCGUAUGAAUCAAUAAUGGGAAUAAAAAGAACCUUAACAUCACAGGUUAAAAAAAAAUCCACAAACGUAAAUGGAAUCUUUAUUUGAUGUCCUCGUCAUAUGAAAUAAAAUCACUUUCACAUUUGCACCUUCA